CUCCAGCCGCCUCCUCUCUAUAAUACUCCUUUCACAAAUCAAAUUUCACCCCACCCAUUUUCGCUUCUCUGCAAAUCUGCAAGAACUCACAAGAACAAAACCAAUUCUUCUCAACUUCUACUCAAUCGAACUCAAGAAACCGAGAACCAAACUCCAGAGAGGGAGUUAUCGUUUGUUCCUUCAAAAUCUGUUCAAGGUUAAAGGCGAUUCCUUGCAAGCAAGAUGUGAUAUCAAAGGAAAGAAUAUAUUUGUGGAUUAAGCACUCGAGGUUGAGCGGCGACGAGCAAUUGGUGGUGAGGAGCUUUUAAAAUUGAAGUAUUAUUUGGCUUUCUUUGAACUACAAGUGUCGUUGUGUCUCCACACAUGACGUUACUCUUUCUCUUGAACGCUUCCGCUGAGACAUUGUUUUUACUCAUCAUU